UACGUAGGGUGCGAGCGUUGUCCGGAAUUAUUGGGCAUAAAGAGCUCGUAGGCGGUCUGUCGCGUCGGUCGUGAAAACUUGGGGCUUAACCCUGAGCUUGCGGUCGAUACGGGCAUGACUGGAGUUCGGCAGGGGAGACUGGAAUUCCUGGUGUAGCGGUGAAAUGCGCAGAUAUCAGGAGGAACACCGGUGGCGAAGGCGGGUCUCUGGGCCGAUACUGACGCUGAGGAGCGAAAGCGUGGGGAGCGAACAGG
rnacentral:rRNA from 1 species